rnacentral:rRNA from 1 species
UACGUAGGAGGCGAGCGUUGUCCGGAGUUACUGGGCGUAAAGGGUGCGCAGGCGGCGGUUCGCGUGGCGAGAUGAAAUCUCCUGGCUUACCUGGGAGGAUGGUCGCCAGACGGGAUCGCUUGAGGGUCGGAGAGGGGCGUGGAAUUCCGGGUGGAGCGGUGAAAUGCGUAGAUAUCGGGAGGAACACCAGUGGCGAAGGCGACUACCUGGCCUGUUCUUGACGCUGAGGCGCGAAAGCUAGGGGAGCAAACGGG